CAUCUCGUUCCAACCCCGUUCCAUGGGCAGGGACACUAGACCAGGCUGCUCCAAGCCCUGUCCAAUCUGCCCUUGAACACUUCCAGAGAUGGGGCAUCCGUGGGAUCUGGCUGCUCCUGUCUUUUCUGGUGCUGGAGCAGUGUAGGGAGGAUUCCCAUGGAAGCGGCUGUGUCAAGUCUCAGCUGGCUGUGGAGGGAGAUGCCCCCAGCCCUGGCAUAUCAGCCUGGGGAAGGGCAGCCGUGCCCAGGAGCAGGAGGUGCUGGGAGCCCGCCCCUGCCAGAGGAGCAAACUCAAAGGCAAGCUUGAUGGAGAGAGGAGAUCCUGCUCCUGUGCUGUCUGGCAGCAAAAACAUGUGAAUGAAGCUGUAAAAGCCCAGUGGUCCCAAAGAAGUGCCUGGUUUUGGCUGCUCCCUUCAUCAGCCUCCUCUGGGAAUCCUUGGCUCUUACCCCAGGAAUAAAGCCCCUGUGACCAGGCUGGAAGACAACACUUGCAGGCUCACCAGCCCCGCUGGAGGCCUCUAAACAUGCAAGGUGAUGAGUCUACCCCGGGGGAAGGUGUGGCAGCCAGCAGUUACAGUGGGAAAGGUAAGUGUUCUUUAAAAAGAAAGUAAAGGUAUUUAGUAGAUGGCAGAGAUAGAGAUGUCUAGAACAGCCUCACAGCAGACCCUGGUGUGAUCCUGCAUGCCCAGCCUCCUCCAGGCAGCUCUGCCCCUGCCCUCUUCUCUCACAGCU